UACGGAGGGUGCAAGCGUUAUCCGGAUUUACUGGGUUUAAAGGGUGUGUAGGCGGAUUUUUAAGUCAGAGGUGAAAUCUCCAGGCUCAACCUGGAAACUGCCCCUGAUACUAUAGUCUUGAAUAUUGAUGAGGUGGGCGGAACGGGUCAUGUAGCGGUGAAAUGCUUAGAGAUGACCCGGAACACCAAUUGCGAAGGCAGCUCACUGGGCAAUUAUUGACGCUGAGGCACGAAAGCGUGGGGAUCAAA
rnacentral:rRNA from 1 species